AUGAUCCUGCAGCCACACUGCCGUCCGUGCUAGACCAGUGAUUUCCCUAGGAGUUUCCUGGAAGGAUAAUACAUGAGUCAGACGGGACUAAAAGCAUUCUAAAGGCCCCUGAGCCCUGCACAGGCGGCUUCAGCAGCAUCCAGGUGGACAGCACAGAGAAGUCAGUCUAGGCCUGCCAUGGUGCCAUCACCCUGGCCCAUGGGCCCUCAGCCACCGGACAGGGAGGGAUUGUCCCUCCCUACUGAAUAAACAACAUCAGGGGCCCAUUAUUCUCCAUAAUUAUUGUCAUAUAACUCAAUAAAACUAAAUGCUUUAUUUGUGCCACCACUCAACAGCAAGUUGCCUUAACACUCCACCAUUGUGCAUCCAUGGAAACGGCUGCGCCAGGCAGCGGAGCGAUGACACUCUUGGAAUUUUCUCCCUCUUGCACCCCUGUUUUCCAAUAACUAUCCUGUGAAAGGAAUAAGAGUGCCCUGCUGUAAGAGGCUGGCAGGCGCUCCCACCUGCUCUCCACACACACCAGCAAACACUGGAACAGCUGGUGUCGUCAACACCGGGAGCAAGCGGCAACCCAGGGCCUUCUAGGUGACUGAUACUUUCCAUCCAGGCCCUAGAGUUAUACUUUCCACCCUGGCACAAUUGGGUCUCCCAGAGCAGGAAUCCACUUUGUGGUGUGAUGUAGCACAAACGACUGGUGAAUUCAUCCGUUCCACUGCUGCUUCAGUGAAAAUGCUUCCAUCGAUUCCCUGUGAUACAUUGGAUUUUUUAGUGAAGAUCAAAUCAAAUGGAAAGUUCUCAACUUACAGAAAAUUGCUUGGAAAAGAUAUGAGUUGCUUCUUGAGGCAGCAGCUCACUGGUUGGCGAAGGCUCUUGUGUGACCCAAAAGGCUGCAGUUUUAAUAGAUCAAAGGUCUUUAGCGCAGAUGAAGUAGUGGGGACGUCGCCCUCUGGAAAGAGUUUGCAUCUGGGAAGAAGCAGCACUAGGUAAUAGCAUUCCCUCAGUUGACAAUCUUGGGAGAAAACCUUCCUCCAGGGCUUGUCAACCUCAUCCAUGCAUCAUGGUAUACUCAGAAAAUAAUAUAUGUCCAGCCUUCUGCAAGGGAAAGAGGAUGCUGCUGGUGGUGGAGGCCACCCGCUGGAGUUCUCACCGACUCAGGUCCCAUCCAGCUUCUUUGAAGGCUGCAGUGGUUAGUACGUUGACCCAACUACAAUCCAUUUGAGCUACACUGUGUAGUAGGUGAGAAAUUCUGAGUAUGUCUUUCUUUAGGAUUCCCACAUGAAAAGCAAAGCAACAUGGGAUGUUUGCUUCUUGAGUCACUCACAUUCAAUUUAUUUAGCUAAUUCAAGCAACAUUUCUUAAGCAUCUAGCAGGUGUUGGGUUUCAUAUGAGCUGCUGAGGUUACAAAGACACAGUCUACCCAGACCUUCUUCCCAAGAGGGUUGCAGUUAAGUAGGAGAGGCGCACACAGGGAAACACAUGCAACAAUGGUCCCAUGAUAGAGCUAUGUGUGAGGUACUAUUGGGACCACAUGUGAGAGUGAUCGAUGGUUGACAUGCUUUUUAGAGGAGGUCACACCAAGAGAUAUGGGCGCAUGGCCUGAUUCUGAGAAGAAAGGGUGGUCUGGCUCUAAAGGAGUCUCCUGUGGAUGCAUACUGGAUAGCUCGCAUCGGGAGGGUACUUUUCAGCCAUUGCUAUCGCGACUCAAUUUUAGGUGUGCCUUCAACAAAUACUGUGCAUGUAUUCUGUGUGGACACUGUGGUGGACAUCGAGAAGAUAGUUCUGCCCUCAAGGGACCCGUAAUUUCCUAGCAGAGGCAGACAACAAACAACUGCAGGAAGCAUGUACCUCAAUUCUGUCAACAAUGUUUGGUCAAGAUGACCUAAAGGGAGGAGCCAUUAAUCUGACAUCCCACACCUAACUGGUGUGACAAUUGGAUGUCUGCCUGGCCUCCAACACUGGAAAACUGACUGGCAGUAGCAAACUGAUA
rnacentral:lncRNA from 1 species